rnacentral:rRNA from 1 species
UGGGCUUGACAUCCCACGAACCUGUGAAAGGCAGGAGUGCCCGCAAGGGAGCGCGGAGACAGGUGGUGCAUGGCUGUCGUCAGCUCGUGUCGUGAGAUGUUGGGUUAAGUCCCGCAACGAGCGCAACCCUCACCCCUUGUUGCUACCAGGUAAAGCUGGGCACUCUAGGGGAACUGCCCCGGUCAACGGGGAGGAAGGCGGGGAUGACGUCAAGUCAUCAUGCCCCUUACGUCCUGGGCUACACACGUGCUACAAUGGCCGGUACAAAGGGAUGCCACACCGCGAGGUAGAGCUAAACCCAAAAAGCCGGUCUAAGUUCAGAUUGGAGUCUGCAACUCGACUCCAUGAAGGAGGAAUCGCUAGUAAUCGCGUAUCAGCACGACGCGGUGAAUACGUUCCCGGGCCUUGUACACACCGCCCGUCACACCACGAAAGCCAGCUGUACUCGAAGUCGCUGAG